rnacentral:rRNA from 2 species
UGAGGAAUAUUGGUCAAUGGGCGGGAGCCUGAACCAGCCAAGUCGCGUGAGGGAAGACGGCCCUACGGGUUGUAAACCUCUUUAGUCGGGGAGCAAAAAGGGCCACGCGUGGUCCAUUGAGCGUACCCGAAGAAUAAGCAUCGGCUAACUCCGUGCCAGCAGCCGCGGUAAUACGGAGGAUGCGAGCGUUAUCCGGAUUUAUUGGGUUUAAAGGGUGCGUAGGCGGUUUGUCAAGUCAGCGGUAAAAUUUCGGGGCUCAACCCCGUCGUGCCGUUGAAACUGACGGGCUGGAGUUGCAGCGGAGCAUGCGGAAUGCGCAGUGUAGCGGUGAAAUGCAUAGAUAUUGCGCAGAACUCCGAUCGCGAAGGCAGCGUGCUAGCUGCAAACUGACGCUGAGGCACGAAAGCGCGGGUAUCGAACAGG